GUACGGAAGGCAGCAGUCGAGAAUUUUUCACAAUGGGCGCAAGCCUGAUGGAGCGACGCCGCGUGGGGGAUGAAUGGCUUCGGCCCGUAAACCCCUGUCAUUCGGGAUCAAUGCGUUUGGGUGAACAUCCCAGACGUUGAUAGUACCGGAGGAGGAAGGGACGGCUAACUCUGUGCCAGCAGCCGCGGUAAUACAGAGGUCCCAAGCGUUGUUCGGAUUUACUGGGCGUAAAGGGUGCGUAGGCGGUCGGGUAAGUCUGGUGUGAAAUUUCGGAGCUCAACUCCGAAACUGCAUUGGAAACUAUCCGGCUAGAGGUUGGGAAGGGAGACUGGAAUUCUCGGUGUAGCAGUGAAAUGCGUAGAUAUCGAGAGGAACACCAGUGGCGAAGGCGAGUCUCUGGACCAAUCCUGACGCUGAGGCACGAAAGCCAGGGGAGCAAACGGGAUUAGAUACCCUGGU
rnacentral:rRNA from 1 species